CGGCUGGGGGCUUUAUUAGGGGGCACCGGGGUCUGCUUUCCGACUCCCUUCCGACUCCGCGCCUGCGCAGGAAGCGAUUUGGGGAGUGUUGUGAAUUCCGAGGGCUCCACACUUAAGAGGUUGUACACUCACCUGUCUACCUGGACUCCAAUUUCCAUAUUUCCAGCCACUUGAGGACUGAGAGGUGGAUGAUAAACCCUGUCAUAGUGGAGCAAGUUCAGGUGUUUAACCGCUGUUAUGGGGGAUCUGCCUUUUCUCCCUCUUCUUUCUUACUUCCAUAAGUAUGUAUGUGCAGAGAUUGAAAAAUAACCUUGAGAGAGUCCAUCCAUCUAACUCCAGGUCAAAAAGAUAUUGGAGCUUCCAACUUGCUCCUUUUUGCAUUGCUCCUCUGAGGAAAACCCAACUGCCAUGUCCUGAGGAUGCUCACAUCUACAGAGAGUUUACAUGGAGAGAAACUGAAGUCUCCAGCCAAGACCCAGCAUCAACUUCCCAGUUACAUCUUGACAUCUAUGGUUCUUCAUUGUUCAGGACACAGCUGAAGUAUUACCUUUCCCAAGAGAUCUUACAUGACAAUAACCACCCCUGUCCUAUGUUUUGGUAUCAAGAUGAAGCUGACCUCAUAGAAUGAGUUGAAGAGUAGUCCCUCCUCCUCACUUUCUUGGAACAGUUUCUGUAGGAAUGGAACCAGCUCUUCUUUGUACAUCUGGUAGAAUUUGGCUGUGACUCCAUCAGGUCCUGGGCUUUUUUUUUGUUUGGUGGGGCACAGUGGCUGAAUGCACGUAAUCCCAGCAUUUUGGGAGGCUGAGGCAGGUGGAUCACUUGAGGUCAGGAGUUCGAGACCAGCCUAGCCAACAUGGCAAAACCCCGUCUCUACUAAAAAUACAAAAAUUAGUCGGGCAUGAUGUUGCACGCCUGUAGUCCCAACUACUUGGAAGGCUGAGGUGGGAGGAUAGCUUGAGCCCAGGAGGCGGAGGUUAGAGUUAGCUGAGAUCGCGCCACUGUACUCCAGCCUUGGCAACAGAAAAUUACAGUUGACUCUUGAAUAACACAGGUUUGAACUGCGUGGCACCACUUCCAUCUCAGCUACCCCUGAGACAGCAAGACCCUCCUCUCUUCCUCCUCCUCCUCAGCCUAUUCAACAUGAAAAUGAGGAUGAAGACAUUUAUGAUGAUCCACUUUCACUGAAUAAAUGAUAAAUAUAUAUUAUCUUCCUUGUGAUUUUUGUAAUAAAAUUUUCUUUUCUUUAUCUUAUUUAAGAAUACAGUGUGUAAUAUUAAUACAUAUAAAAUACAAAGAUGUGUUAAUCAUUUAUGUUUUCUGUAAGGGUUUCAUCAACAGUAGGAUGUUAAGUUAAGUUUUAGGGAAGUCAAAAGUUAUGUGAGAAUUUUUGAUGCACAGGAGUUCAGUGCUCCUAAACCCUAUAUUGUUCAAGGGUCAACUGUAUACACUAAUCAUUAUUUGAAAGCUUAAUUUAUAUGAAUCAAAAUAAACUAUGUUUAUGUUGA
rnacentral:lncRNA from 1 species